AGUUUGCAUGUGAUGGUGUUAAAUACACGUUGAGAGAUUAAUCUAUAGGAAAAAAUUCAACUCUUGAGGCAUUUU
rfam:Brassica rapa chromosome A9, whole genome shotgun sequence.